CACGUAGGGGGCGAGCGUUGUCCGGAAUCAUUGGGCGUAAAGCGCGUGUAGGCGGCCCGGUAAGUCCGCUGUGAAAGUCGGGGGCUCAACCCUCGGAUGCCGGUGGAUACUGUCGGGCUUGAGUACGGAAGAGGCGAGUGGAAUUCCUGGUGUAGCGGUGAAAUGCGCAGAUAUCAGGAGGAACACCAAUUGCGAAGGCAGCUCGCUGGGACGUAACUGACGCUGAGACGCGAAAGCGUGGGGAGCAAACAGG
rnacentral:rRNA from 1 species